rnacentral:rRNA from 1 species
UAGGGAGUCUUCCGCAAUGGGCGAAAGCCUGACGGAGCAACGCCGCGUGAGUGAAGAAGGAUUUCGGUUCGUAAAGCUCUGUUGUUAGGGAAGAAUGAUUGUGUAGUAACUAUACACAGUAGAGACGGUACCUAACCAGAAAGCCACGGCUAACUACGUGCCAGCAGCCGCGGUAAUACGUAGGUGGCAAGCGUUGUCCGGAAUUAUUGGGCGUAAAGCGCGCGCAGGUGGUUUAAUAAGUCUGAUGUGAAAGCCCACGGCUCAACCGUGGAGGGUCAUUGGAAACUGUUAAACUUGAGUGCAGGAGAGAAAAGUGGAAUUCCUAGUGUAGCGGUGAAAUGCGUAGAGAUUAGGAGGAACACCGGUGGCGAAGGCGGCUUUUUGGCCUGUAACUGACACUGAGGCGCGAAAGCGUGGGGAGCAAACAGGAUUAGAUACCCUGGUAGUCCACGCCGUAACGAUGAGUGCUAAGUGUUGGUCUCAUAAGAGAUCAGUGCUGCAGCUAACGCAUUAAGCACUCCGCCUGGGGAGUACGACCGCAAGGUU